rnacentral:rRNA from 1 species
UACAGAGGGUGCGAGCGUUAAUCGGAAUUACUGGGCGUAAAGGGUGCGUAGGCGGUUGGGUAAGUCUGUCGUGAAAUCUCCGAGCCUAACUCGGAAACUGCGUCGGAUACUAUUCAACUCGAGGAAUGGAGGGGAGACUGGAAUUCUCGGUGUAGCAGUGAAAUGCGUAGAUAUCGAGAGGAACACCAGUGGCGAAGGCGAGUCUCUGGACAUUUCCUGACGCUGAGGCACGAAAGCCAGGGGAGCAAACGGG